rnacentral:lncRNA from 1 species
AUCAAAAGAUUUUGUUAGUUUCUCCAUAUAACUUUGAAUCUAUAAUAGUAACCUUAAAUUGUACUUUAGAUCAAGUAGGGAAUAAAUUACUUCAUCUUGAACACAUGCUAUGUAAAGAUUCUAUAUGUAAAUGGAAGAAUUAUAAAUAAAAUAAUACCUUUAUGUUUUUGUUCACAGUUUGGUUGGAAAAGCAAUGACUUUGACUUAUUAGAAGCUGGAAGGCCAUCUCAUUGAAGAGAUUACUGGUGAAAUAUUCACAGAUUGGCAAUUGGUGCCAGACUGAUACUAAUUGCCAGGAACGUACGUGUUAAACUUGGUUUGGAAACUUCCCUCGGCGGUGGAGGCACUGCUUUACUGAGAAGUGACUCACAGGGCAAAGCGCUUGGACAAACGGUAUUAGACUUCCAAAUAAAAGGUGUUCCUGAUUUCAAGUCAUUGGCAGAUGGAUAAAAGAGCUUUGGCCCUGAGAAACUUACUGUUUCUUAGUACAAAGGCAGAAUCAAAUCCAAGGUAAAAGGAUGUAUGCAUUAUAAAUAAACAUCAGCUUGGUGGACUGAAUACCA